AACGAACGCUGGCGGCAUGCCUAACACAUGCAAGUCGAACGAAGCCUUCGGGCUUAGUGGCGCACGGGUGCGUAACGCGUGGGAAUCUGCCCUUGGGUUCGGAAUAACAGUUAGAAAUGACUGCUAAUACCGAAUGAUGUCUUCGGACCAAAGAUUUAUCGCCCAAGGAUGAGCCCGCGUCGGAUUAGCUAGUUGGUGAGGUAAAGGCUCACCAAGGCGACGAUCCGUAGCUGGUCUGAGAGGAUGAUCAGCCACACUGGGACUGAGACACGGCCCAGACUCCUACGGGAGGCAGCAGUGGGGAAUAUUGGACAAUGGGCGAAAGCCUGAUCCAGCAAUGCCGCGUGAGUGAUGAAGGCCUUAGGGUUGUAAAGCUCUUUUACCCGGGAUGAUAAUGACAGUACCGGAGAAUAAGCCCCGGCUAACUCCGUGCCAGCAGCCGCGGUAA
rnacentral:rRNA from 1 species